UCCUACGGGGGGCUGCAGUGGGGAAUCUUGGACAAUGGGCGAAAGCCUGAUCCAGCCAUGCCGCGUGAGUGAAGAAGGCCCUAGGGUUGUAAAGCUCUUUCGGCGGGGACGAUAAUGACGGUACCCGCAGAAGAAGCCCCGGCUAACUCCGUGCCAGCAGCCGCGGUAAUACGGAGGGGGCUAGCGUUGUUCGGAAUUACUGGGCGUAAAGCGCACGUAGGCGGGUCGCUAAGUCGGGGGUGAAAUCCUGGGGCUCAACCUCAGAACUGCCUUCGAUACUGGCGACCUUGAGUACGGGAGAGGUGAGUGGAAUUCCCAGUGUAGAGGUGAAAUUCGUAGAUAUUGGGAAGAACACCAGUGGCGAAGGCGGCUCACUGGCCCGUAACUGACGCUGAGGUGCGAAAGCGUGGGGAGCAAACAGGAUUAGAUACCCCUGUAGUCAGU
rnacentral:rRNA from 2 species